UGUGUAUAUUUUCUUAGGUUGGUUUGGCAGCUUGUCAGAUAGCUAAGAACCUGGGUCUGCAGGUUAUAGGUACUGCCAGCACAGCAGAGGGCCUGCAUCUUGUCAAGGAGAAUGGGGCCCACCAUGUUUUCAAUCACAAGGAAGAGGGGCAUCAGGGGAAAAUAAAGGAGGCCACAGAGGGUAAGGGAGUUGAUAUUAUAUUGGAGAUGAUGGCCAAUGUAAACCUGCCUGCUGAUGUAAUGCUUUGCAAGAAACAUUGUCGAAUUAUGGUUAUAGGUAAUCGUGGGGACUGUGAGUUCAACUUUAGCAAACUGAUGACAAAUGAAACUUCUGUUAUUGGAGUCAAGCUUAUGAUGACUGAAGGGCAUGAAUGGGAAAUGAUGGGAAGCUUCAUGUAUGCUGGUAUGGAACAGGGCUGGUUGAAACCAGUUGUACACAGGAAAUAUGACCUGAAGGAUGCACCACAGGCACAUGCAGAUAUCAUCAGCAAUCCAGGAUGCAAGGGAAACCUUGUUCUGCAGAUAUAGUACUGGUGUCAUUCAAAAUAUGGUAAAAUGGGGUCUUUAGAUGUAGCAUACAUUCAGUGCUACAAGAUGCAGUGCUAUCAGUGUCAAGAUACAGGUGGCCAUGUUCAGUUAUGGAGCCCUGUUCAACAGUCUUGUGUUGCUUUCAUUUCUGCUUGUCGCCGGCAUUUACAGCUUUCUGUCCUUCUUGAUGACAGUCUGUCCCACAUGUUUCCAUCCUACAUUAGACACUGACUUCUCUUGGACAUACUUGACAGUUGUAUGAUCACCAGGUAUGGCUGGCAGAUGGAUUUAUCGACUUCUGCUUGACACUAGAUGGUGCCUUAAUUUUACUCAUUGUCAAGAAUUUUAAAUAAAUCCUUCAGAAAGCCAACAGGAUGGUAAUGCAUGCAAGAGGGAUAAAUUAUCUCCAAAUCUGCAGCAAGUUUCAACAAGCAGGCCAAGGAAUUGCUGAUGUGUUUUUGCAUUCAAAUGCAUGUCCAAAUUGAAACUAACUGCUGAAAAAAAGACAGUUUAAGAUCUUUGUUCUUUUUUUCAAUGCUGAUGGGUGCAGACCCGUGGAGUGGGGAGGGGGAUGUCAUUCACCCCAUUUCCAUAGAUUUUUAGAUCGAUCUAUCCCUGUGGGGAGUCUCACUAGAUUACUGUCAGC
rnacentral:lncRNA from 1 species